UUUGGAAUUUGUACACCUCAUGAUCUGAAAGCACAAGGUUAUGCUAAGGAUCAAAUAAUACAAUGGCCAGAAAGGAGUCAUGUAAAGUACCACACAUGUGCAAGGUAUUAUAUUUAAGAAUCCUGGACCCUUUGUUCAAAUUCUCCCUUUGGUCAUCUGCCUACAGUAUCUUAUCCUUGAAACCGACUUUCAAGAGAAGCUGGAGAAGGGAAGAAUUAUUAGCACCAUUCUUCUGAUUAUACCUCACUUUUGCAUAUUUCUUGAGAAUUCCUAACAGUUUUGCAUUCACUAUUUUUUAUUGAAAUAAGAACUUUGGUAUUUAUCAACUACCUUUAUGCUUAUUUAAAACAUUUUAUCUAGUUGGGUUUUUUUUAAUACAUGUUCAAUGAGAAAAUCUGGAAGACACAAAAAAUGUGUGAAGAAAGAAAUGAUAAUAAUUGGUAAAUAUCAUGAAUCAGAUAUAAGUCAUUUUCCAUUGUUAUUCUUAGCUUAUUAGAUUGGUUACUUUUGUUACAACAUGCUAGGAUAUUUAUUUUGUAAAAUUAAGAUUAUGUUUUAUACCCGACUUCAUAGGCUGCUUUUCACUUAAAGCAUCUUGUAUAUCAUACACUCUCAGGUAAUUUUCAGAGUCUCUGAGUGAGUGGUAUUUUCACCUUUGUUUCCCUUAAGAAAUGGAUAUUCUGAAAAUGUGAAGAGUUUCCUGAGGGUUAAGGAGAGACUACAAUUGCAAUCUUGGUGUUCCAACUGUGAGUCUAGAACUCCAGCCAUUAUAUCACAGAUGACAGUACUACUACAGAAACCCAUAUAUAUUGAUGAUUCUCUACCUUUUUAAUAUGUAAAUCCCGUCAUGUCAUUCCUUUGCCCCUAAUACAACAAUGGCUACCUAUUUCAUUCAAAGUGAAAGCUAAAAUGCCUAUAAUUUGGCCCCCAGUGAUUUUCUAAUUCAUCUCUCACAUCUCCCCAGCUCCUAAUUUACUAUGCUACAGGUUCCUUGCUAUUCCCCAACGUACCAGGCAUGCUGCCAGUGUGGGGUUUUAUACUUGCUGUUUCCUUUUUCCAGAAUGCUUUUCCUCCAUAUAUCCACAUGCCUCUCUCCUUUACUUUCUUUAUGUCUGUUCAGACAUCACACUGUCAGUGAAGCCCUCCCUGACCAUCCCAUAUAGUGAAUCUUUGCCUGAAACCACCUGAUACUCCUCACCUCUAUUUCCCUACUUUGAUUUCUCUUUUGUUUGUAUGACCACAUGAUAUGCUACAUACUUACUUAUUUCUUUCUAAUUUCUCUUCCCACCCUACCCCCAAUGGCAGGAACUUGUUUUACUUUAUUUAUUAUGUUACAGACAUUCGAUAUAUUUUUUUUGUUGGAGGAAUGGGUAUACACUAGAUGACCUGCUCAGUGAUUUAUAUACAUUCUAUCCCUCUCCCCUCUCUCUGAGUCUAUGAGACAUGUUAUUUCCAAAUUCAAACACACAUUGAUAUAUGUUGUGACAACAAAUUUUAUUAUCAAAGGUGAUGUCAAGUUUAAUAUUUAAGGACUGAAAAUUAAAGAUCAUCUUUGACUCUGGGUCCAAAAAAAAUCCCUUUGACUCUGCCUGCUUGUUUUACCAUAAAACAUCCACAAUGAUGGUUAUUCUAGCACUGUACAUACAUAUGCUAUGUUACCAAAUAAAUUAAAAAGAAACUCAACAUCCUA